GUGAGUGUAGCUCAGUAGGUUAGAGCGUCGGAUUGUGGUUCCGAAGGUCGCCGGUUCGAGCCCGGUCAUUCACC
rnacentral:tRNA from 1 species